AAAAAAAAUGUUUGUCACAAAGCAUGUGGAAGUAUUAAUUUUUGUGGCGGUUUUAACGCUGCCUGUACACAAAUUACAAAAUUAUUCAUCGACAUACCACAUUUUGAAACUAAACUAUAUACUCGCAUGGUAAAUGCAAUAGGAUAUCCAACCGCUUAAAACUAAAUGUUUUUAUACACCAAAGAAUAAUAAUUAUUAAUCACAAGAGAGAAAGAGAGCAAAACCUCGAUUUUGUUUACAUU